rnacentral:misc_RNA from 1 species
AACGCAUAUUGCGCCCCCGAAGGGCAUGCCUGUUCGAGCGUCAUUAUCACCGUAUCAAGCUUGGCUUGUGGUUGGGCCCUGUCACCUGGUGACAGGUCCGAAAGAUAAUGACCGGUGUCAUAUCGACUCUAUAUGCAACGAGCUGAUCACAGCACGCAUCUGGCAGUCGUGUGGCCCGGUCUGCUCCCCCUUUUUUCUCAAGGUUGACCUCGGAUCAGGUAGGAAUACCCGCUGAACUUAA